CACACUGGACCUUGGGCUACAAGUGGAAAAGGGAAAAGCUAGCCUGGAGAUCUGAGAGACUGCAGCAAUCACAGGAAGAAAAAUGAGAGAUUGGAAAAGAGAGGAAAAUUCUAAUGUACCCUUUCUGAGAUGGUGGUGACCAGAAUGGCACACAGUAUUCAAGGUUGACAUCUUGGCCACACAUGGAUUCCAUAGCCACAGAUGAGGCUCUACAAAUGCUGGGGAAAUGGUGUCUGAUUCUUCCUCACCCUUGUGGCAAUAAUGGCUGGGCCAGCUAUGAGUGUGGCAAGUCCACCACCAUCUUCCUGAUGCUGUGAGAUCCACCAGAGGAACAGUUCCUCAUCCAGGGUUUCGAUAUGGAGUACUGAGAGCGGGCUGCUGACCACAAGGAGCACCAGGCUGACCAGGAGAAGAGGAAGGACAUGUGGGAGCAGCUGUCAUGCCAGCAUGAUGCUAUGUACUCCUUAGUAACAUCAGUCAUGACCUCUUUUAUGGAGUGGGCCACCAGACACCUUCCUGUCCCUUCCCCACCAACUCUCUGCCCAACUACCUGCCCCCAACUACUUGCCCAACUCCCCUGCACCCACGCCCGCUCCCUGGUUUCUCCUCCUAGCCCCUCACAGGUAGCCGAAAUCUCCCAAGAUACCUGAGGCAGGUGCCAGUCCCAGCUCUGUCCCUGAGGCCCCCUUCCCAUUCCUCUCCCCUGCUCCCCCAUUCUGGGUUCUUUCCCCAGUC